CCCCCCCCCCCCCCCCCGGGUUGUGUUUUCUUUUUGGGGGGGGGGGGGGGGGGGCGGGGGCCCCCCCGCCCCCCCCCCCCCCCCCCCCCCCCCCCCCCCGCCCCCAUCCCCCUCGUUUUUAUUCUCGGGUGAGAAACUCAGCGGGGAACAGAGAUUGGGGCGGGAGGGGGGUGAAGCCGCCGAGGGACUGCAGGGGCCGCUUGGCACCGGGGAGAGCGGACAAAAGCCGGCGGAACGACGUGGCUUCCAUUCAAAAAGGGGCGCUCCGGGCUCCGGGAGGGCAGCCCCGGCCCGGGGAGGGGGCGGGAGCGGCAGCGGCAGCGGGGCGGCGGCGGCGGGCAGCCCGGCGGCGGGGGCGUUUGGCGAUGGGCGCCGGCGGGGAGCGGGACCGGCGGGGGAGCGGGGGAGCGGGGAGCCCCCGGCCGCCGGCGGUUGGGGACGGCAGCGGCUGAAACGGCGGCCCAAAGGCAGCCCGGACGCCACGAUGAGGGGCAUCCCGGGCUUCAAGCGGCUGCGGCUCAAAAUCUGGCGGCGAUGCACCCUGCUGCUCCUCCUCCUCCUCUGGGCUGCCUGCUGGCUGGUGGUGAGCGCCUUGCUCUUCCUCCUCCACAGGAGCGUCUUCUCCGAGCGCUGCACGGACGAGAAGAGCCGCCGGAUCCUGGCCAGGCUGGAAGAGAAGCCAUAGGCGGCGGUGCUGACAGCGCGGUUCUAAUGGCAGCAAGGUCCAGUUUCUUCACCCCAGCAGUCAGCUUGACGUACAGCUGGGCUUGGGAUUGAAGCUGAAGGAGUGAAUCCUGCCUGCUCCUCACGUGGCUGGGAAGAGCACAGGGGUCUGGAGGUGCAAGGAGCCACCGAGCUCGGGGAGGUCCAGGCCCUUGCCAUCACACUCGGAUGUGUAAACGGACAGAGACUUGUCGCUGUUCUUCAGUCUGGAGAGCGUUAGGCAUGACUUCAAAAGCUCGGGUGGGGAUCAGAUUUCAGGCACAAGGCUGGAAAGUUGUCUCUGUCACUGGGGCAUAGCUCAGAUUCAGAGCCUCCUUCCAGAGGAAGGGUAGCUGAGAUCGCUGCGCUCGUCUGUUUCUGUAGGCGAGUCUUCAGGAGUAUCGUUAAGGUUUGUAAGCGACAGUUGUCCCGAAUGAAGUUAGAAAGGGGUCGUCCUUCUAGUGGAACGAUUAGAAAAUGAGUUCGUCUUCAUCAGCCCUGAAAUAAGUCUUUAUUCAUCUUCGGAGCAUGGCAUGAGUUUUGCAGUUAUAGAAAGUGCAAUUGAUCUAUGAAACAAAUAAUCUUAUAGCUUGAGUCUCACGGCUUUUAUUGAGCAAAAUUUGACUUGCGAGAAAAACUGUUUUGCUAGUCAUCUCUCAUAUUUUCAGUAGGAGAUAAGAUGAGCUAUUUUAAGCAAGUGGGUGAAAACUACACGGUUGUAUACCCUUGCGAGUGGCAUUUCUGAAGGCUUAUUUCCUUCUUCUGAGCAAAAUAUGCAUCUCUGCAGAUGUGUACUGCACUGGGAAGGCUGAAGUAGCGCUGGACAUUUUGAAGAGACCCAUUUUAACUCUCAAAAAACCCCACUUACUCUUUCUUAACACGGGUCUCAUCUUCAUUUACACUGAACACACUAAAUCAUAGCAAUCAAUUUCUCUUUUCUCUGGAGAAAUCAAUUAAUUUUGAUGCCUUCCAAAACCCUGCUGAGUAUUGCAUUUACAGAGAAGUACUUGAUAACAAGGCAGGACUCAGUCUCAGGCCUGAUCUACACAAAAGUGAUGGUGGUACAGUAAGUUGUUUAAAUUUAUAUAAAUCCCUAGUGGGGUUUAUGUUAAUUUAAACUUUUACAGCAAUUUAACCCCAGCUUUUUUAACUUAUCUUGAUAAGUGUACUAAGGAUAUUAAAAAUUAUGUAGCCAAUUUUAAACCGAAACAGAUGAGUGAGCUCAGACCAUGCUUGUGUUUGCAUUUCUGUGUAGUAUAGCUGCUUUUCUGUAAGGCUUUUGGCUUAGUAUCACUUUCAUAUUUUAGUUUAAAAAAUCUGGCACUUAGUGGCAUACAAAGGGCGCUCAUUAGGUAGAUUUAAAACUGUCUCAUCGACAGAUCUCAAAAUGCAGUCAUUAAGACAGGGAUGGGAGUGUGGAGGACCCUUUCUGGAAGAUUUCUUUGGGGAAUUGAUUCUUCUUUUUACCAGCAGUCAUCGUGACAAUAUAAAAUCUUGUAUGGCGAAGUCUGCAGUUCGUGCAAAGGUUCCUGGGUCGGAAAAUAAUAAAUAGACCAUCUUUUCAUGGCAGGGUAAUCUGAAUCACCUGGUUAAAUGUUUUCAGUCCACCAAAAUGUGUUUUAAUACAGUAAAAUGCAAGAUAGUACACUGGGGUGUACACAAGAGUACAAGCUGUGCCAAUAGGAUGGAAGAGUGUCUUGUAAAACUGUAUGACUUUGGAAAGGACGUAGGGGUCAAAUAAUUGCUUCAACAUGAACUACCAGUGCAGACUGUGCCUAGAAGGCCAAUACAAUCCCUGAAUGUCUCCCAAAAAGAGAAUUGGGGAAGGGCUGUUGGCUGUCUUUGCGGCACUGGACAACAGCAUUCA
rnacentral:lncRNA from 1 species